rnacentral:tRNA from 1 species
ACUAUUUUGGCAGAUUAGUGCGGUAAAUUUAGGAUUUAUUUAUGUAAUUUAUAUUACAAUUAGUA